rnacentral:rRNA from 1 species
GAUGAACGCUAGCGGGAGGCCUAACACAUGCAAGCCGAGCGGUAUUGUUUCUUCGGAAAUGAGAGAGCGGCGUACGGGUGCGGAACACGUGUGCAACCUGCCUUUAUCUGGGGGAUAGCCUUUCGAAAGGAAGAUUAAUACUCCAUAAUAUAUUGAACGGCAUCGUUUAAUAUUGAAAGCUCCGGCGGAUAGAGAUGGGCACGCGCAAGAUUAGCUAGUUGGUGAGGUAACGGCUCACCAAGGCGAUGAUCUUUAGGGGGCCUGAGAGGGUGAUCCCCCACACUGGUACUGAGACACGGACCAGACUCCUACGGGAGGCAGCAGUGAGGAAUAUUGGUCAAUGGGUGCAAGCCUGAACCAGCCAUCCCGCGUGAAGGACGACUGCCCUAUGGGUUGUAAACUUCUUUUGUAUAGGGAUAAACCUACCCUCGUGAGGGUAGCUGAAGGUACUAUACGAAUAAGCACCGGCUAACUCCGUGCCAGCAGCCGCGGUAAAACGGAGGGUGCAAGCGUUAUCCGGAUUUAUUGGGUUUAAAGGGUCCGUAGGCGGACUUAUAAGUCAGUGGUGAAAGCCUGUCGCUUAACGAUAGAACUGCCAUUGAUACUGUAAGUCUUGAGUAUAUUUGAGGUAGCUGGAAUAAGUAGUGUAGCGGUGAAAUGCAUAGAUAUUACUUAGAACACCAAUUGCGAAGGCAGGUUACCAAGAUAUAACUGACGCUGAGGGACGAAAGCGUGGGGAGCGAACAGGAUUAGAUACCCUGGUAGUACACGCCGUAAACGAUGCUAACUCGUUUUUGGGCUUUAGGGUUCAGAGACCAAGCGAAAGUGAUAAGUUAGCCACCUGGGGAGUACGCUCGCAAGAGUGAAACUCAAAGGAACUGACGGGGGCCCGCACAAGCGGUGGAUUAUGUGGUUUAAUUCGAUGAUACGCGAGGAACCUUACCAAGACUUAAAUGGGAAUUGACAGCUUUAGAAAUAGAGCUUUCUUCGGACAAUUUUCAAGGUGCUGCAUGGUUGUCGUCAGCUCGUGCCGUGAGGUGUUAGGUUAAGUCCUGCAACGAGCGCAACCCCUGUCACUAGUUGCCAUCAUUCAGUUGGGGACUCUAGUGAGACUGCCUACGCAAGUAGAGAGGAAGGUGGGGAUGACGUCAAAUCAUCACGGCCCUUACGUCUUGGGCCACACACGUAAUACAAUGGCCGGUACAGAGGGCAGCUACACAGCGAUGUGAUGCAAAUCUCGAAAGCCGGUCUCAGUUCGGAUUGGAGUCUGCAACUCGACUCUAUGAAGCUGGAAUCGCUAGUAAUCGCGCAUCAGCCAUGGCGCGGUGAAUACGUUCCCGGGCCU